rnacentral:rRNA from 1 species
GAUGAACGCUAGCGGGAGGCUUAACACAUGCAAGUCGAGGGGCAUCACGAGGUAGCAAUACUUUGGUGGCGACCGGCGCACGGGUGAGUAACACGUAUGCAACCUUCCCUGUACAGGGGGAUAACCCGGAGAAAUUCGGACUAAUACCCCAUGAUGAUAUUUAUGGGCAUCCAUUAAUAUUUAAAGCUCUGGCGGUACAGGAUGGGCAUGCGCGACAUUAGCUAGUUGGUAAGGUAACGGCUUACCAAGGCCACGAUGUUUAGGGGACCUGAGAGGGUUGUCCCCCACACUGGUACUGAGACACGGACCAGACUCCUACGGGAGGCAGCAGUGAGGAAUAUUGGUCAAUGGGCGCAAGCCUGAACCAGCCAUCCCGCGUGAAGGAAGAAUGCGCUACGCGUUGUAAACUUCUUUUCCAGGGGGAGAAUAAUCCUGUCGUGACAGGACUUGACGGUACUCUGGGAAUAAGCAUCGGCUAACUCCGUGCCAGCAGCCGCGGU